rfam:Schistosoma curassoni strain Dakar, Senegal genome assembly, scaffold: SCTD_scaffold0012155
AUCCAACUGACGAGCCCCAGAUAGGACAAAAUGCGUGUCUUGGAU